UUUGCGGCUGAAAUAGACUUGAAUUCUGCGGAACUGUUGCUGAGAAGCUAACCACAUUAAUGUUACACUCUGGUGAGUUUGUUCAUUUCAACUCUUGUCUGAGGCAACUUUAUUAAAUGUUUGUUUUGGACAUGUAACAUGAACUAUCAGGGAGGACAGUGCAGCACCUGGGCUAACGUUAUCCAUCACUCACUCAGCCAGCCUCUCUGCGGGCCUCUCAGGACAGGGUUAACUCCACUACCACCAUUAAGGCCCUCUGUGAACUCCCGACCUGUCAGUUCCACUGUACAACACCAUGGCCCCGGGACAGACAAGCUGGAGUGGAGAGACACAUGUAAACUGGCCCACACUCCCAUUAAGGACGGCUUACAUGGUGUCUCCACUUUGGCGUGACGACCGGCCAUUUAUUUCUACAGGAUUGUGAAGUUCAGACCGCAGCUCUCUACCGCAGCAGUCUAAUUGCCUGGGAGGCUCUCAGCAGGAGUGUGGCAGGCCUCUGGCAUUCCCGUUCCUGGCAAAGCUCUGCGCCAGUACUGCUGCAGUGCCAGCCCGCCCUGCCCUGCAUCCACGCCAGGGGUCUCAUAACCCAGAAGGAUCCCCCAUGAUGGGCACUCCCCACAAGGCCUCUGCGGAAACGGAUGGGAAACCCCAGGGAAGCAACAGAAAGAGGGAGCAAAACUAGUUUAACUGGUGCCAUCAAUCAUGACGAGGUUCAAGGCUUGAGACUUGAGGCUGUUGUACUUUACAAGUCGGGAUCUAAGGGGCCCUCCGAUCCACACCGGAGUGGAAGCAGAGCUGCGGGCAACUAGAGCAACACACCUGGGUUUUAUAGCCACGUGAGCGUCACCUGUCCCUACAUUACCUCAGUGGCUUACAUCACAGGGCGGUGAAGUGUUCUAUGAAACUUGUAAUUGUUGAAAGGGAUGCAAAGUAGACACGUUCAGCCAAGUGUGAAAACCCAGAGAGGUGUCUCAAAUCUGUGCGAGAGUAGAGUGCAGUGAAUUGACACAUGUAACCGUCCAUUCAUUUGAUUUAAGAGUGACAGUGUGACAGCAUGUUCAGGGAUAUUUUUUUUUUUUUUUGCCAGUUCUCAAAACUAUUGAAAAAAGGUUCUGAAAAAAAGAUGACUGGCCUUAUGGAACAGCACUUUAAAGGUUCUCUAUAUGAUGUUCAGAGCAUUAAUAUAGCAGCAAACAACUAUUUGUUAUGUAAAGAUAUAGAGAAGU